GAUGAACGCUGGCGGCGUGCCUAAUACAUGCAAGUCGAGCGAACGGACGAGAAUCUUGCUUUUCUUAUGUUAGCGGCGGACGGGUGAGUAACACGUGGAUAACCCAUAUAUAAGACUGGGAUAACUUCGGGAAACCGGAGCUAAAACCGGAUAAUAUUUUGAACCGUAUGGUUCCAAAGUUAAUGACGGUCCUGCUGUUACUUAUAGAUGGAUCCGUGCUGAAUUAGCUAGUUGGUAAGGUAACGGCUUACCAAGGCAACGAUACAUAGAUGACCUGAGAGGGGGACAGGCCCAACUGGAACGGAAACGCGAUCCAGACUCCAACGGGAGGCCACAGAGGGGUAAGUUACGCUGGGGGCGGGAGCCUGACGGGACAACGCCGCGUCGGGGAGGAAAGUAUUGGCAUCGUGAAUCUCUGUUAUUAGGGUAGAACAUGUGUGUAGGUAACUGUGCACAACUUGACGGUACCUAAGCAGAAAGCCACGGCUAACUACGUG
rnacentral:rRNA from 1 species